rnacentral:tRNA from 1 species
GUAGCUCAGUGGUAGAGUGCUUGCCUUGCAUGCAUGAAGCCCUGGGUUCGAUUCCUUAGC